UGGGGUAGAGCUCAGUGGUAGAGCAUGUUCCUAGUGGGCAUGAGGUCCUGGGUUCAAUCCCCAGUACCUCCA
rnacentral:tRNA from 1 species